GACGAACGCUGGCGGCGUGCUUAACACAUGCAAGUCGAACGGAAAGGCCCUGCUUUUGUGGGGUGCUCGAGUGGCGAACGGGUGAGUAACACGUGAGUAACCUGCCCUUGACUUUGGGAUAACUUCAGGAAACUGGGGCUAAUACCGGAUAGGAGCUCCUUCUGCAUGGUGGGGGUUGGAAAGUUUCGGCGGUUGGGGAUGGACUCGCGGCUUAUCAGCUUGUUGGUGGGGUAGUGGCUUACCAAGGCUUUGACGGGUAGCCGGCCUGAGAGGGUGACCGGCCACAUUGGGACUGAGAUACGGCCCAGACUCCUACGGGAGGCAGCGGUGGGGAAUAUUGCACAAUGGGCGGAAGCCUGAUGCAGCAACGCCGCGUGCGGGAUGACGGCCUUCGGGUUGUAAACCGCUUUCGCCUGUGACGAAGCGUGAGUGACGGUAAUGGGUAAAGAAGCACCGGCUAACUACGUG
rnacentral:rRNA from 1 species